rnacentral:rRNA from 1 species
UACGGGGGGGGCAAGCGUUGUUCGGAAUUACUGGGCGUAAAGGGCUCGUAGGCGGCCAACUAAGUCGGAUGUGAAAUCCCCAGGCUUAACCUGGGAACUGCAUCCGAUACUGGAUGGCUUGAAUCCGGGAGAGGGAUGCAGAAUUCCAGGUGUAGCAGUGAAAUGCGCAGAUAUCAGGAGGAACACCAAUGGCGAAGGCAGCUCGCUGGAACGGUACUGACGCUGAGGCGCGAAAGCGUGGGGAGCGAACAGG